rnacentral:rRNA from 1 species
GAUGAACGCUGGCGGCGUGCCUAAUACAUGCAAGUCGAGCGAACAGACGAGGAGCUUGCUCCUCUGACGUUAGCGGCGGACGGGUGAGUAACACGUGGAUAACCUACCUAUAAGACUGGUAUAACUUCGGGAAACCGGAGCUAAUACCGGAUAAUAUAUUGAACCGCAUGGUUCAAUAGUGAAAGACGGUUUUGCUGUCACUUAUAGAUGGAUCCCCGCCGCAUUAGCUAGUUGGUAAGGUAACGGCUUACCAAGGCGACGAUGCGUAGCCGACCUGAGAGGGUGGUCGGCCACACUGGAGCUGAGACACGGACCAGGCUCCUACGGGAGGGAGCAGUAGGGAAUCUUCCGCAAUGGGCGAAAGCCUGACGGAGUAACGCCGCGUGAGUGAUGAAGGUCUUGGGAUCGUAAAAAUCUGUUAUUAGGGAAGAACAAAUGUGUAAGUAACUAAGCACGUCUUGACGGUACCUAAUCAGAAAGCAACGGCUAACUACGUG